AUCAAGCUGAAUCACCGGUUCUCGUCAGAUCACCGAAAUUAAGCAACGUCGAGCCUGGCCAGUAUCUAGAUGGGUGACCGCUUGGGAAUACCAGUUGCUGUAAG
rnacentral:rRNA from 1 species